UAAGGAAUAUUGGGCAAUGGAGGCAACUCUGACCCAGCCAUGCCGCGUGAAGGAUGACUGCCCUAUGGGUUGUAAACUUCUUUUGUAUGGGAAUAAACCCAGUUACGUGUAACUGGCUGAAUGUACCAUAAGAAUAAGCAUCGGCUAACUCCGUGCCAGCAGCCGCGGUAAGACGGAGGAUGCAAGCGUUAUCCGGAUUUAUUGGGUUUAAAGGGAGCGUAGGCGGGAUAGUAAGUCAGCGGUGAAAGCCUGAGGCUCAACCUCGGAACUGCCAUUGAUACUGCUAACCUAGAGUACAUUUGAUGUGGGCGGAAUGUGUCAUGUAGCGGUGAAAUGCUUAGAUAUGACACAGAACACCGAUUGCGAAGGCAGCUCACAAAACUGUAACUGACGCUGAGGC
rnacentral:rRNA from 1 species